UGUGUUUAUUAGAUACAAAACCAACCCACUUUGUGGAGUCCUGGUGAUUCAUAGUGACCGAACGGAUCGCAUUUGGGUUCGGCCCGCGAUGGAUCUUUCAAGUUUCUGACCUAUCAGCUUUCGACGGUAGGGUAUUGGCCUACCGUGGCAGUGACGGGUAACGGGGAAUUAGGGUUCGAUUCCGGAGAGGGAGCCUGAGAAACGGCUACCACAUCUAAGGAAGGCAGCAGGCGCGCAAAUUACCCAAUGAAAACAGUUUCGAGGUAGUGACGAGAAAUAACAAUACAGGGCAUUUUAUGCUCUGUAAUUGGAAUGAUGGGAAUGUAAAACCCUUUCAGAGUAACAAUUGGAGGGCAAGUCUGGUGCCAGCAGCCGCGGUAAUUCCAGCUCCAAUAGUGUAUAUUAGAGUUGUUGCAGUUAAAAAGCUCGUAGUUGGAUUUCUGUCGUGGUCAACCGGCGCCGCCCGUAUGGGUGCGCACCUGGUUUGCCCGUGGCAUUCUUCCGGUAGCCUUCCGCGCUUAAUUGCGUCCGUUGGUGUUUCGGAACUUUUACUUUGAGAAAAAUAGAGUGUUUCAAGCAGGCUUGUCGCCCUGAAUACUGCAGCAUGGAAUAAUAAGAUAGGACCUUGGUUCUAUUUUGUUGGUUUCUAGGACCUGGGUAAUGAUUAAUAGGGACAGUUGGGGGCAUUCGUAUUUAACUGUCAGAGGUGAAAUUCUUAGAUUUGUUAAAGACGAACUACUGCGAAAGCAUUUGCCAAGGAUGUUUUCAUUAAUCAAGAACGACAGUAGGGGGUUUGAAGACGAUUAGAUACCGUCGUAAUCUCUACCAUAAACUAUGCCGACUAGAGAUAGGGAAAUGCCUACCUUGGCUUCUCCUGCACCUCAUGAGAAAUCAAAGUCUCUGGGUUCUGGGGGGAGUAUGGUCGCAAGGCUGAAACUUAAAGGAAUUGACGGAAGGGCACCACCAGGCGUGGAGCCUGCGGCUUAAUUUGACUCAACACGGGGAAACUCACCAGGUCCAGACAUGGGAAGGAUUGACAGAUUGAUAGCUCUUUCUUGAUUCUAUGGGUGAUGGUGCAUGGCCGUUCUUAGUUGGUGGAGUGAUCUGUCUGGUUAAUUUCGAUAACGAACAAAACCUUAGCCUGCUAAAUAGGAUCGGGAACCUCGGUUUCCGCAUCACUUCUUAGAGGGACUUUGCGUGUCUAACCCAAGGAAGUUUGAGGCAAUAACAGGUCUGUGAUGCCCUUAGAUGUUCUGGGCUGCACGCGCGCUACACUGAUGCAUGCAACGAGUUCUUGACCUUGGCCGGAAGGUCUAGGUA
rnacentral:rRNA from 1 species